rnacentral:rRNA from 1 species
UUCCGUAGGUGAACCUGCGGAGGGAUCAUUACCGAGUUUACAACUCCCAAACCCAAUGUGAACGUUACCAAACUGUUGCCUCGGCGGGAUCUCUGCCCCGGGUGCGUCGCAGCCCCGGACCAAGGCGCCCGCCGGAGGACCAACCAAAACUCUUUUGUAUACCCCCUCGCGGGUUUUUAUAUCUGAGCCAUCUCGGCGCCUCUCGUAGGCGUUUCGAAAAUGAAUCAAAACUUUCAACAACGGAUCUCUUGGUUCUGGCAUCGAUGAAGAACGCAGCGAAAUGCGAUAAGUAAUGUGAAUUGCAGAAUUCAGUGAAUCAUCGAAUCUUUGAACGCACAUUGCGCCCGCCAGUAUUCUGGCGGGCAUGCCUGUCCGAGCGUCAUUUCAACCCUCGAACCCCUCCGGGGGGUCGGCGUUGGGGAUCGGCCCUUUACGGGGCCGGCCCCGAAAUACAGUGGCGGUCUCGCCGCAGCCUCUCCUGCGCAGUAGUUUGCACACUCGCAUCGGGAGCGCGGCGCGUCCAUUGCCGUAAAACACCCAACUUUCUGAAAUGUGACCUCGGAUCA